rnacentral:rRNA from 1 species
GACGAACGCUGGCGGCGUGCUUAACACAUGCAAGUCGAGCGAGGCCCCUCCUUCGGGAGGGUGCCCUAGCGGCGAACGGGUGAGUAACACGUGGGCAACCUGCCCCUAGCACUGGGAUAACCCCGGGAAACCGGGGCUAAUACCGGAUACGACUUCAGAGGGCAUCCUCCGAAGUGGAAAAGGUUACUGGCUAGGGAUGGGCCCGCGGCCUAUCAGCUUGUUGGUGGGGUAAUGGCCUACCAAGGCGACGACGGGAGCCGGCCUGAGAGGGCGACCGGCCACACUGGGACUGAGACACGGCCCAGACUCCUACGGGAGGCAGCAGNGGGGAAUAUUGCACAAUGGGCGAAAGCCUGAUGCAGCGACGCCGCGUGAGGGAUGACGGCC